rnacentral:tRNA from 1 species
AAAAAAUGCUCUUUCAGAAAACAUUUUGGUGUUUUAUAAGAUGCUGCUUUUAUAAGAUGAUGCCGGGGAAGGUUUUCCGGUUUAUCCCGGAGGGCUUGUAGCUCAGUUGGUUAGAGCGCGCGCUUGAUAAGCGUGAGGUCGGAGGUUCAAGUCCUCCCAGGCCCACCAAUUUAUCUGUUAAUUUAUAAGCGCUGGUGAAACUUGCUUAUAUGGAUCUUGCCUAUCAAUUUGUAAGAAACUUACUUAUCUUACGGGAUGAUUUACUUAUAAAAGGCUUUCUUAUGAAUUUAUUUAUAAAAAGUGUGGCUACCUCUUUGGUUUAAGCAAUGCGAAGUUAAAGCAGUUCAACAGCAAAAGUGAUCCCAAUUUAAGAUCUGAAAUUUAAAAGUUUCAAAUGCGUUAUCCUGUUUUUAGGGGCCGUAGCUCAGCUGGGAGAGCACCUGCUUUGCAAGCAGGGGGUCGUCGGUUCGAUCCCGUCCGGCUCCACCAAUUUGAUCAUCAUCAUUGUUGUGAGAACAAAUUUUGUGAGAGGUUCAAUAAUCUUUCGCUUGUUCUAUUGAAAUUGUGAAGAGAAGA